rnacentral:rRNA from 1 species
CGCUGGCGGCGUGCCUAACACAUGCAAGUCGAGCGGAGAUGAUGUGAGGAAGUUUUCGGAUGGAAUCACAUAUUUUAGCGGCGGACGGGUGAGUAACGCGUGAGCGACCAACCUUGCACAGGGGGAUAACGGACCGAAAGGUUCACUAAUACCGCAUGAGACCACGGUGUUGCAUGACACAGAGGUCAAAGGAGAGAUCCGGUGCAAGACGGGCUCGCGUCCGAUUAGGUAGUUGAGGGGUAACGGCCCACCAAGCCUAUGAUCGGUAGCCGACCUGAGAGGGUGAUCGGCCACAUUGGAACUGAGAUACGGUCCAAACUCCUACGGGAGGCAGCAGUGGGGAAUAUUGGGCCAAUGGGGGAAACCCUGACCCAGCAACGCCGCGUGAAGGAAGAAGGUUUUCGGAUUGUAAACUUCUGUCCUUGGUGAAGAGAAGAAGACGGUAGCCAAGGAGGAAGCCCCGGCUAACUACGUGCCAGCCGCGGC